UGCAAGUCGAACGCUUCUUUCCUCCCGAGUGCUUGCACUCAAUUGGAAAGAGGAGUGGCGGACGGGUGAGUAACACGUGGGUAACCUACCCAUCAGAGGGGGAUAACACUUGGAAACAGGUGCUAAUACCGCAUAACAGUUUAUGCCGCAUGGCAUAAGAGUGAAAGGCGCUUUCGGGUGUCGCUGAUGGAUGGACCCGCGGUGCAUUAGCUAGUUGGUGAGGUAACGGCUCACCAAGGCCACGAUGCAUAGCCGACCUGAGAGGGUGAUCGGCCACACUGGGACUGAGACACGGCCCAGACUCCUACGGGAGGCAGCAGUAGGGAAUCUUCGGCAAUGGACGAAAGUCUGACCGAGCAACGCCGCGUGAGUGAAGAAGGUUUUCGGAUCGUAAAACUCUGUUGUUAGAGAAGAACAAGGACGUUAGUAACUGAACGUCCCCUGACGGUAUCUAACCAGAAAGCCACGGCUAACUACGUGCC
rnacentral:rRNA from 1 species